UGGGGAAUAUUGCACAAUGGGCGAAAGCCUGAUGCAGCGACGCCGCGUGAGUGAAGAAGUAUUUCGGUAUGUAAAGCUCUUUCGGCAGGGAAGAAAACGACGGUACCUGACGAAGAAGCCCCGGCUAACUACGUGCCAGCAGCCGCGGUAAUACGUAGGGGGCAAGCGUUAUCCGGAUUUACUGGGUGUAAAGGGAGUGUAGGUGGCAUGACAAGUCAGGAGUGAAAGCCCGGGGCUCAACCCCGGGACUGCUCUUGAAACUGUCAGGCUUGAGUGCAGGAGAGGUAAGCGGAAUUCCUAGUGUAGCGGUGAAAUGCGUAGAUAUUAGGAGGAACACCAGUGGCGAAGGCGGCUUACUGGACUGUAACUGACACUGAGGCUCGAAAGCGUGGGGAGCAAACAGGAUUAGAUACCCUGGUAGU
rnacentral:rRNA from 1 species